AACGGGGGCUGCGCAUGCGCCUAAACGACACCGCGGCACCCUGGCGGCCGCGGCUCACGCCGGAGAGCGGGUCUGUGCGUGCGCCCCGAGGAUAUCACCUCAGGGCGGGGCUGACUCGUUAGAACUAGACGGACUGGGCAAAGUGAACGAGGAGGGGGCGCGCGCGCGAUCCCCAUGACAGAGGCCGUUCGAACAGCCGCGUGGGUCAGACUCACACUCCAGCCCCUCCCCGGUCAUCCAGGGCUUCCUCGGCCCCACCCUCACCUUUGCGGUCAAAAAUAGUCAAGGCCCCUGUUAAUGCUGCAGACAAGAAAGCUGGGGCCUCCCCUGCCCCACCAAGCCUGGACCCUAAGCCCACCAAUACCUAAGUUCUGUGAACCCGGGACUGGCUCUCCCUUGUGGAGAACGAGUAGGACCCUUCCCUCCGGAGAUGCAGAAAGCAGCCUCCACUUUAAACCAUUCUUGCAUUGAUUGUUCCUGUAGUCAAGGUUUGUGGACAGGUCACCCACAGCCUGUUAUGACCAGAAGCCUUAAAGGGCUUGAGAAAGUUUUUAAUAGUGUAUAUUGGGUUAGUGUUCAGAGACCCCAACCCUGGCCAGGGUCCCAUACGGACAAAUGUAAAAAGAUGAGGCUUCUGACCUCGCUUAGAUAGGAAAGACUUGUGUUUCUUUCACUAACAGUCUAGUACAGAAAUAUGGGAAGGAAAGUAGAAUGAAGGAGAUGGAAACUGAGAUACAGGGAAGGUUCAUGUUAGUAACAGUUUGAAGCUGAUUAACAUCACUCAUGGGCUAGUAGCAAGACUCUAGCAACAGGCGACAGCCUCCUGAGCAGGCCCUUCCAGAGAUGGGUGACAGCCUCAUGGAGUGGGGGGUAGGCGCCUUGGGCAAGCAACUGGAGGUGUCCCGUUUUCUCUUUGGGAAAUAUGGUCAACCUGCAACUCCCAGCCGCCAUGGGUGGAGGGGAGCGCCCCUGAAGCUUUCAGCUGCCGCAGACAGAGGGGGUACCCCACAGCUCCCAGCCCGGGGGAAACCAUGGGCCCGCAGCAGCAAAACUCACGGACAGGUCACAGCUUCCGUGAAUUUUUGUUUUUUCCCCGUGACCUGUCCGUGACUUUUACUAAAAAUAACCAUGACAAAAUCUUAGCCUUCAUUUUGAACACAAUUUUCAAUGCACCAAAUGGGACAACCUGCAAAGGCAAUACUAGUUGACUCUAAAUUCAAUGUAAGUGCAAACUUAAGCUCUGGAGCCCCUUACUUGUCUUCUGGAGGAAUCUCUGCAAGAGCUGAGGCUUCCCCCAUUGCUGCUCCGAGUCAUCUUCCAGGCUGCUGUGGAAACAUUAUUAGGCAUUGUUUACUUUGGGCUGUUCUCCACAGUGGUUGCCUUUCUGGGCUCCAGGGCCCGGUCUUGACACUUAAUUUCUCAGAAUUUAUCUUAAGCAUGUCACCUUGGUACUCCAAUGUUCUAGUGUUGUGGUGUGUCAUUAAUUUUCAGUAUGCUGUUAGUUUCCUUAGCCCCUCAGGAAGGAAGACUGCUCUGCAAUUUCAAACCAUAUCCAUUCAGGAGGACAGCACUGAUAAUGGACAAACAUUUCUACUGUGGAGACAACCACCAAGGGCAGGGAUUUCAUAUUUGCCUGCAAAUCUGAGCCAGACAGUGACACAGACAUAUACAGACACACUCACUUAGACAUUUAAAAUGGAAUUCAUGUGUUCACAAAAAGCCAAUCCUGCAACAUGCCAAGACCUCCUAUGUGACAAGUUCAGUAAAAACUAAUAUUUUGUAUUCGCAGAACUGGGUUCAAACAAUUAACUGAACCUUUUUAGCAGAUCAGAUUUUAUUUACUGCCCAGGUGCUAAAACUGUUCAUGCUGCAUUUUUACUGACGUACUAAAUAUAUGAUGGUACCUGGAAGGGAAAUGGCAACUGUGAUUGGUUGGGGGAGGAUUAGAUCUAGAUUUUUCAUCCUCUUUCCCUUUAAGCAAAAUUCUAAAUUUCCCUUCAAAAUAUAAAAAUAGGACUUUUUUUUUUAAGUUUCUGAAAUUAAAACUUGACUCAUUCCCUGUCUGACUAGUGGGGUUCCCAUGUACCUCCUACCCCACCCCUCAGAUGCAGUCUCCUGUGUGUAAGUCCUUUCCUGCAGACAAGCACAGAGACAACUUGUUCUUCAUCUCAAGGUGACCCUCCUAAAUGUCCCUUACUGCCAAGUCGGAGCUGAUAGCUGUACAUAAGAGGGUGUCAAACCAAAUUUGAUAUCGUAAUGAGUUCCUAUCCAAUCUCUGCUGUACUACAGAACUAAGAAAAUGAUAGCUGGAGGGAGUCCUCUUCCUGUGUCCAAGUCCUGAAAAUCACACUGAAAUGCUGACACCUGCAGCCGUCCUGGAAAGCUGAGGUGAGGUGGAGUGAACCAAUUCCAGGAGGGCAUUUGUGGAAGGGUUCAGCUUUUCCUGGUCCUCAAAAUCGGAAAUGGUAUCUUAUGGUGAUAGCAUUGAGGGAUAAGAACCUCCAUUUGGAGGAACAGUCUGAACCGCAUCCCACAUGGCAUUAUGUCAGUAAACUGCAGGACAAAAGAGUGGUCUCAGAUACCAGAGUGAUGGGCAUCGUAUGAGAACUUAAAAAUAUACCCUCUAAAAGAACUAGAAGAUGAAGGGGAUAAGUUACUGAGCACCAUCCUGCAGCCUCUGGCCCUGUGAAUGAGAAUAUAUGGCACUAGCAGAGAACUAUUUCAGGGGACAUCACUUUACCUGCUGGAGAAUGAAGGUUUUCAUAGCAGCGGCGAUGAAGGGGCCACGAGAAAGUAAAGCACAAAUACACAGCAGUAACUCAAAUUCCAGAGGACACAGAUGCCAGCUUUGUGCAAAUCAGCAAAUUCUCUGACUGCAACGAGUCCAUUUAAUGCCCUAUCCAAUUAAACAAUCUUUUCUGAUGUGCACCCAUAUCCUGGAAAAGCAUAAUGGCAGUUAAUCCUUUCAGGGCGAGAGACAACUUGUGGGCUUGAGGAGAAGGUACAGGAAGGUGAUCAGGAAUCAGCUGUAUGCUCAGGUCCUAGAACAUUUGUUUCUUCAAGCAGGAAACAUACAUAUGAAGAGUAAGAUUGCUCCAGUAUCCUGAAUAAGUGUCCUGCCAACACCUUAGAGAUAUUCUUGAAAGACUGCAUAGCAACUAACUGCAGUGAUCUUUUCAGUUGCUAUUUACUUACAAAGCUGCAAGCUCUGGUGCGGAUUUAGAGAUAAAUUUCCUGGAGAUAUUGCAUCUACUAGGAAAACAGAAAAUGCAGAAAGGUAUCUGGGGCACUUCUUUUCACUACACCACCAGUAACACACUACUUUCAUUUAAUCCCCAAAUCAUUAACUGCCCAAGAAAGGCAAGGGGAGGCCACCAGACAGGACCCAAGAUCAUGCCAGUUAAAAGGUCUCUUUUAGAAACAGUCUUACCUAUGUCUGCCUUCUGUAAAUGGAUCAAUUCCCAUUUUGAGAGUAAUCAAGGUAAAUUGAUUUUCAAGUAUAGAUGAUGUUUCCAAUAAUAGAGAAGCUCUAACACAUGAUUCCAGGUUAUUUAUUCCUCAGUACCAGAAACUAAACCUGAGAUUUUUUUGUCAGCAAACCUGCAACUUGCCUCCUUCUCACAACCAAGUAUCCAGAAAAUAGAAAAUUAAUCCCACCACUUUGUUUACCUGCGCUCUUUUGCAGUUUAGUUUGUCAAAAAUUUUAUCACCCUCUAUUUUUCUCUUUUUGGAGGGAUACAGGGAAGAGGAAAUAAGGGCAUUGUAAGGGGAUAAUUCGCCAUUUUUUUAUCCACUUAGAUAAUUUCCAUUGAUUGCAGUAGCGUCUGCUGUUAAGGUUCAUAUUAUGCAGUUCAAGCUUUUUUAUUCAGGACCUCAAUGGAAAAGUUUAAACAGAUCAGAUACAAUAUUAAUUAUCUAGCAGCCCAAAAAUGGUAAGUGCAAGGCUAUACAAAAGGCACGUGACUGCCCUGGAGGCGUCUGGCUCAUUUCAACAAAAACUAAAGGGUGAUGCAUUUCCCCAAGUGGCAGAAUUUAUGGGAGUUUCCCAUUUUUAGGAAAGUGAAAUGUUUGAAAAUAAAACAAGAAUUAACAACAUAACAAUUAAUAGACUAUUUGUAACCUCUCAUGGUGAUAAUCUUCCCCUAUUCUCAAAGGUCAUCCAUUAUAAGAAAAACAGGUUUACACAAAAGGUUAAUAGGCAUUUUUUCUAUGUUUCAUAGUUCCAUUUUGUGUCUUGAGGGGUGCAGAUGCUCUCCCCUCAGUUUGAAAGCAAGUGAGUGUGUAAAGGAACAAGGCUUAUAUGGUAAACAGUAGAGGGAAGAUUUAAUUAGAGGAAAAGGUAACACACUGCACAAGGGACUGAUUGACAGCAGCUUUUCUCUCUCUCUCUCUCUCACACACAGACACACACACACCACCCUCUGCUAAAAAAUGGUUCUACUGUCCAGCACAGCACACCUCUAAUGACAUAUGCAAAACAAACAUGAACACAAAGCAAAAAAACAAAAACAAGGACUAAAGAACGCAAAUGAAACAACAUCCAGAUAAAGGAAGAAAAUGAUAAAACAAUUAUAUUUGUGUUUCCUCUAUACCCACAGAUAGAUUGCUAUUUGUAAACGGGGGGCGGGUGGGGAAAUCAGUAAUUUAUUCUCAUCUUCUUCAAUGUGAGAGAGUGUCAUUCUCUUACUCUAUUUUCUUGUCUGGAUCUGUAGACUCUCCCACAUUUUUAAAAUACAAAAAUUAAACAUGAUGAAGAAAGUUACCUGAAAUACCUGCAAAUGUACCUAGCGUAAUCUUACAGACACAGUGCUAAAUCAUUGUGCCAUCAGAAUGUCAGAGUUCACUACAUGAUAUGUUAUGGAAGCUUAGAUUACCACCUACUAUUUUUUGUUGUUGCUGUUUUAGUACAUUGAGUACCAGUUAGUACAUUGUGCACCUACAGAAUUCUGGCAGCCAGAAACAAAGUUAAUACCCACCUCUACAACUACUUUUACUUA